rnacentral:rRNA from 1 species
AGCGAACGCUGGCGGCAGGCUUAACACAUGCAAGUCGAGCGGGCCCUUCGGGGUCAGCGGCAGACGGGUGAGUAACACGUGGGAACGUACCCUUUGGUUCGGAAUAACGCUGGGAAACUAGCGCUAAUACCGGAUACGCCCUUUUGGGGAAAGGCUUGCUGCCGAAGGAUCGGCCCGCGUCUGAUUAGCUAGUUGGUGGGGUAAUGGCCUACCAAGGCGACGAUCAGUAGCUGGUCUGAGAGGAUGAUCAGCCACACUGGGACUGAGACACGGCCCAGACUCCUACGGGAGGCAGCAGUGGGGAAUAUUGGACAAUGGGCGCAAGCCUGAUCCAGCCAUGCCGCGUGAGUGAUGAAGGCCUUAGGGUUGUAAAGCUCUUUUGGCGGGGACGAUAAUGACGGUACCCGCAGAAUAAGUCCCGGCUAACUUCGUG